rnacentral:rRNA from 1 species
GCCGCGGUAAUACGUAGGGUGCAAGCGUUGUCCGGAAUUAUUGGGCGUAAAGAGCUCGUAGGCGGUGUGUCACGUCUGCCGUGAAAACCUGCGGCUUAACCGUGGGCGUGCGGUGGAUACGGGCAUCACUUGAGUUCGGUAGGGGAGACUGGAAUUCCUGGUGUAGCGGUGGAAUGCGCAGAUAUCAGGAGGAACACCGGUGGCGAAGGCGGGUCUCUGGGCCGAUACUGACGCUGAGGAGCGAAAGCGUGGGGAGCGAACAGGAUUAGAUACCCUGGUAGUCCACGCCGUAAACGUUGGGCGCUAGGUGUGGGGCGCUGUUCACGUGUCCCGUGCCGUAGCUAACGCAUUAAGCGCCCCGCCUGGGGAGUACGGCCGCAAGGCUAAAACUCAAAGGAA